UACGUAGGGGGCAAGCGUUGUCCGGAAUCAUUGGGCGUAAAGAGCGUGUAGGCGGCCAGAUAAGUCCGCUGUGAAAUCUCGAGGCUCAACUUCGAGCUGUCGGUGGAAACUGUCUGGCCAGAGUCCGGAAGAGGAGAAUGGAAUUCCUGGUGUAGCGGUGAAAUGCGCAGAUAUCAGGAGGAACACCGGUGGCGAAGGCGGGAUCCUGGGCCAGUACUGACGCUGAGGAGCGAAAGCGUGGGGAGCAAACAGG
rnacentral:rRNA from 1 species